rnacentral:rRNA from 1 species
UACGGGGGGGGGCAAGCGUUGUUUCGGAAUUACUGGGCGUAAAAGGCUCGUAGGUGGCCAACUAAGUCAGACGUGAAAUCCCUCAGCUUAACUGGGGAACUGCGUCUGAUACUGGAUGGCUUGAGUUUGGGAGAGGGAUGCGGAAUUCCAGGUGUAGCGGUGAAUGCGUAGAUAUCUGGAGGAACACCGGUGGCGAAGGCGGCAUCCUGGACCAACACUGACGCUGAGGAGCGAAAGCCAGGGGAGCAAACGGG